rnacentral:rRNA from 1 species
AGCGAACGCUGGCGGCAGGCCUAACACAUGCAAGUCGAACGAACUCUUCGGAGUUAGUGGCGGACGGGGGAGUAACACGUGGGAACGUGCCUUUUGGUUCGGAAUAACUCAGGGAAACUUGUGCUAAUACCGAAUGUGCCCUUCGGGGGAAAGAUUUAUCGCCAUUAGAGCGGCCCGCGUCUGUUUAGCUAGUUGGUGAGGUAACGGCUCACCAAGGCGACGAUCAGUAGCUGGUCUGAGAGGAUGACCAGCCACACUGGGACUGAGACACGGCCCAGACUCCUACGGGAGGCAGCAGUGGGGAGUCUUGCGCAAUGGGCGAAAGCCUGACGCAGCCAUGCCGCGUGAAUGAUGAAGGUCUUAGGAUUGUAAAAUUCUUUCACCGGGGACGAUAAUGACGGUACCCGGAGAAGAAGCCCCGGCUAACUACGUG